UUUUUUUAUUUUUUAUUUUGUUUGGUGAACAGUAGAUUCAGAAAAAUAAUAAAAAACAAAAAAAGACAAAUGUGACGUCUGUGAAACAGUUAACAAUACAUACUGUUCGGGACAAUCUUUUUUGUUGAGAGACCACUCAAAUAUCCAAACAAGCUGAAAAAUCGGCGCGGACAUCACGCAUUGAAAAUCAUCCAUGCAAAAAUAAUUCCGUUUUUUUUGAAAAAUUUAGUAUUUUUUUGAAUUUACUAUUCAGCCGGUAAAAAAUCAAAAAUGUUUGUUGAAUUUUAUUUCCAACUUUUUUAAAUUUACUGUUCACCCAUCGACAAACAAAAUUAUUUUUUGAUUAUUUUAGUUAUUGUUCAGCCAGUCAACGGGUCAAAUCUGGUCAACUGUGUCAAAACUGGUCAAUAUGGAGGCGAGGUUGAAUUUUGGCCGGUUUUGAGAGUUAGGGGGUGUAAACUAGACGGUAUUGAACUUGGGGGUGUAUAUUAGACUAGGUCUAGAGUUAAGGGGUGUAAUAUGCACUUCUCUCCUUUAGAUUUGACCCCUUGUCACAUUGAUGUCUAAUUAAUCACCUUUGUAUCUCGAGCAGUGUUUUGAAUUUUGAUAUAAAAUCUUAUGAUAAUAUACAUCGAUGUUGCAUCAAUAUGCUAGAUUUUAGAAGAAAAGAAACCCUCGGGUUUUCGGGGCAUUGCAUUCUCACCCAUCUCUUCAUACUCAAGCGACGUUCUCUCUUCUACUUCGUUGACUCUCGCUUUCGCGGUUGCCUCUCUAAGGCGGACACUAUCCUAUCAAUGCAUUUUGGCAUCCCACACCUUUAUUUUUUUGCGAGAAACUUUCAGUCUAUUCAUUUUCAAUCAUGGUGGUUCAAAGAAUAACAGUGGUAAUAAAAACUUAGCCCCCUUUCGUACAACCUGUUCUCUCUUUGUGAAAGGCCUCUGAUUUCAUGAUCUAAUUUGAAGAACUGGCUUAAGAUCGUAGCUCUAGUUGAAAAAAUCCCCCACUCAAGUUAGGCCCUGGAAAACCAACCAAAGAAUGGAAGGAAUGCGCGAUGGAGGCCCUCGUAAAUUAUAAUUUGAACUAUAGCCAGGGCAAAUCUCUUAAUAUCGGAGGUUGGUUUCUAGGCAGGUGCAUAGGAGCCGUCAAAGGAAAGGCGAGAAGCCUUGGCUUUGAUGCACCCCGAUUUAUACAAAAAGGAUCAGAGGUCAAAUUAGUUAACGAAUUAUGAUAUUUGUGAAACAUACAUAAUGUGCUACCCCUCCGUUCCAUAAUGUAAGACUUUUUUUGAUACUACAAUAGUCAAAAAAAUAUGUUACAUUAUGAAACGGAGGGAGUAGAUUUUUAAACAAGGGAACUUCAAUGAAGCCAGAUUCUAUUUUUUAAACAAGGAAUUUCAAUGAAGCCAGAUUCUAUUUUUGCAAAUGCUGCAGCGACUUCUUUGACAGGAAUUCAUCAAUAAAAAAAGUGGAAGAGCAUGAAGCUUCAUUCCCUUGCAAGCUGAUAUGGCGCCUGGCAUUCCACAUUCAAAACAAGCAAUCUCGGGCCGCAGCUUCUAAGAAUCUCAGCUAGCAGGUUUUGCAGCGACCCUCCCCGAGAGGAUAACUAAGGGCGUGUUUGGUUGCCCGCAUAAGAUCCAACCAGGCCCGCGCGUGAAGGAUUCGGCCUGUUUGGUAGCCUGCAUACAUUAUUGGGCCUACAUCGCAUGCUUCUUAAAGCAUCUCAGGGCCUGGCUCACUGAAAACGCACGAAUCGGCAGUUUCUCUAGGGACAGGCCCGAGCGGUGCACGUGGGCGGGCGCGGCUGCACGCGCGCGGCCACGCUCGAGAAGCCGCGUUGCUUCCCGAAGCACCGGCAGUUAUUAGCCUCACCGCCCCUCACCGCUCCCUCUCCCCACUCUUCCCCACUCUUCCAACUCUCACCGGCGGCGGCGGAUUGGAACAGAGGAAGAAGACCACCGGACUCCAUCACCAGCGACGGCGGAUCAGAGCAGAGGAAGAAGACCACCAGACUCCAUCAAUGGUGGUAAGCACUUCUCUCUCUUCGACAUGAACACUUGAUUCGAUCCACGGCGAUAGAUUUGAUCCACGGCGGACGAGAAUGGGGAACAGAGGUAGCUAAGCAUAGGGGUAAUUCAUACUAGUUCAUAGCAGUUCAUACGAGUUCAUACAUAGCAGUUCAUACAUGCAAGAUCGGUAGAUUUCGCGAUUGGGGGAUAGGGGAAUAGGGGGAAAGGGGGUACAGAACGGACACCGGCUGACCGUGGCGGCCGUCACCGGCGUGCGGAGCGGCUGGUCGAGCCGCUGGCCUUCAUCUUCUUAUUCAUCGCCGUGCGGUCCGGCGGGUCAUCCUCGGCGGAGUCGAGGUCGGUCUGCCAAGUAGGACGGACUGGCUUCGGUGCCCUAACCGCCUCUUCUUCCUCCUCCUUAGACUCCCCGCCAAUGACCGCCGACGGCGCGAUACCCGUCCCCAGUACACUGCGGCACGGCGGUCAUUAGGAGCCCAGUAGGUCUUGUACUUGCACCACUUCUUCCUCUGUUUAGGGUCGUCGGAGACGGCCUGAUUCAUGGCCCAGCAAAUGAUGUCAACUGCCAUCGCACCCUUCGCUGGGUCAGGAAUCAGUGUCUUCAGCUCAUCUUUAGUGGCCUUCAUGAGCACGACAUUGGAUUCGUUCUGCAUGUCCAGCAUGGAGCCGAAGUUCGAGCACACCUCCAUGGUGUUCUCGAACUUGGUCCGAUCACCAGCCGUCCACCCGAGAAAGAAGGCCCUCCAGCCAAUACCCCAAGGGAAGGGGUUGCCGUUGGAGCUGGAGCUAGAGCUCAUGGCGAUAGGGAGGAGGAAGGUUGACAGUGAGAGAAGAGAGGGGGUGGGUAAAUAGUGGUGGGUAGGGUGAGUAAAUAUAGGGGGUGGAGAGGAGGAGAAGAGUGACAGUCAUGUCGUUUUAACUACAAGCUCUUGAAUUAGCCAUGAACUCUGUGCAAUGCCUGAUUCCAUGACUUGUGUGCAGAUCGAGGAUAGCAAUGAGAUGGGCACGGAGGUACUCUCGGCCGUUGAUAGCAAGGGCAAGCAGCCCCUUCACCCAAUGCCUGACGAGGUUGAGCUACCGCCCACCACCGAGGAAGACCCGAAAACGCGUGAGGGUGGCGACGACGAGGGCAUGGAGGAGCCCCUAGCAACAAGUGCCGCAACUACGGCCACUACCAUCAAGAGGAUGACCCAACUCACUUCCGCAAGGUCAUCCUUGCACCGAAGCUUGAGUGCAUCCCCAUGCCCCUGGACUUCACCAAGCACUUCGUCGCGGUGCCGACGGAGUUCAAGCUCAGGAAGAACACCGACUGCUCCUGGAAGGUAACGGUCAAGCUGAUGAACGGCAGGGUGACCCUAGAUCAGGGUUGGGCCACCUACGCAGCCGUUCAUCAGAUCAACAUCGGCUACAUGGUGAUGUUCAAGCUCCUCACUCCCGACACCCUCAAGGUCAUCAUCUUCGACGACGAUAGCAUUGAGGUCAUCAACAAGUGCGGGAAGCACAACGAAGCCUUCGCCGCCAAGGAGUAGGGCCGGGGCACCUUCUUUUUAAUUACUAUCGAGUCUGCUUUGAACUGUUUAUGGUUUAUGCGUUGAAAUGUUAUAUCUGUGGUACUGCUUAUAUCUGAAUUAUGCUAGUUGAUGCUCUGUUUAUACUCUGUUGUGCUUAUGAUGUGUGAUGCCAAAGUGUGGUGGUAACCUCACCAACUAGCCAAAUAGAUUACCACACAUCAGGCCUUGCAUAUAAUAAAACACCAUGCCUUGGGUUUGUGGACUAACAUGCAGGCAACCAAACACCAGGCAGUGUGGUUCAGCCCAUGCAGGUAAGAGGGCAUGCAGGCAACCAAACAACAUGCAUAUGGUGCAUUUGAGGCUGCAUUUGCAUAGCCAGGUUGGAUGGAGAAAUUUAUGCAAUGCGGGUACUGUAGCACACGGCAACCAAACACGCCUUAGGAAGCUCACUCUAAUUAGACCAGCUGCAAUACGUUGGAUGUUAGGAUCCUCCUAGCAUGUACACGUACAGAGGCUGCCCCUUGGACCAGCCCAUGGACUUGGCCCUCGGUGCAGCUACUUAAGCAUGGUGUACAGAAGGAGAGGGUAUCCAGUGGAUCACGAACGAACCGACGACGGCUCUUUCCUCCUACCUUCUUCCCCCUGUUGCAAGCUUCCUCUGUUCUUCUCAUCCAUUGUGUAAUUCCUCUGUAAUCACUACUCUAUAUUGCUACUCGUGAGAGAGAUCGAUCUAUACAAGCUAGCUACCAUCACCUCUCUUACAUCUGGUAUCAGAGACCAGCCACCACUCCUUCCCUAUGCGUUUCGCCAAGCUCGUCGGCAUCGGGCAGCCAUGGAUCCAUGGAUGCAGGCGUAUCUCGAGCGGAUCGACACCAUGCUCGAUGCCUACACAGACGCCACCAGGUCCCUCACCGAGAAAGUGGACGCUCUGGUCGUCGUCUGGCGGCCAGACCUGGAGAAGAGGUCCUCCCACACCGCCGUCGUCCACGGUCCACCGGCGCCGACCUCGGCGCUCGAGACCACUACUGAGGCGUCUGAACCCGUCCCUAACAUCUACUACUCCACCACCAAGGCCCAGGAGAUCCCCACGGUCGCCCAUGAUGCAACUCCGAUAUGCAUUCCGAUGGUGCCUGUCACCUGUUCGACGGAUUGCCCGACCCAGAUCGACGCCAUCGACAGCGCCGACGAAGUCCAUGACGCCGCCAGCGUCGCAACAGAGGUUCGCAACACUACAACCGCACUCGGCCCCGAGCUCGCGGUCGACCUCUGCAACACCUGUGGUCACUAUGGCAAGUUCGACGGCCUCAACAUCCCCGUGAAGGCCAGCAUCAGCCCGCCGCCCCACGUCCAGGAUGCAUUCCCAAAUUCCACAAUCAGCAAUUGUCGUGCCGAUGUUGCCGGGACGGACGAGUACGCACUCGUGGAGGCCACUCCAGACGUCGCCAUUGAGCUUGCCAUCCUCCCAGGCGUCUCCUCCUUCAUGAACAAACUAUUCUGGAAGCAUGACAUGGACGUCUCGCCGCCCACAAGGCACAAAGGGCUGCCAAUACGGCCGACACCAUGGCCGUCAUUUUUGGUGCAUCAUAGUGCAAAGGGGAACGAGAUUCGACCCACUCCGUGGCUAUCGUUUUCUUGCUCUCAUGAAGGUAUGACUCUGAAUCAUGAAACUCUGCUGCCUCAUGUUACAUGUGUGAUGAAGAAAUUACUUGCUAGAGGAUGCACUGAUUUCACACUCGGAAAGACUGGUUUACCCAGAUUUCACGUUGAUAAUUCCGCGUAUAGUUCUAAGCAAGUUGGUGAUCUUUUGGUGCACCGACCGCUUGUGAUACUGAAGCAUAGGGGCUGCCUAAAACCUUUGAGCAGCAAGACUGAAGUACCUUGUUGGUGUGAUCACUUCAUCAGCAGAAGUCCACAAAUAUCCCAGGCAAUGCAUUGCCAACUAGUAAAUGAGCUGAAACCUUCUUGGCUGCUGAAUUAUUUAUCUGUUGUCCUGAAUUCUUUCUCAACAUUCUCAAGAUAUUUGCCAAGGGUAGAGCAGGUGCCCAGUAUUUUUCUGAAGGUUGUUUCCAGGAUCCGUAUGGUGCCAAUAGAUAUUCUUAUUCUGAGCAAUCGGUUAAUCCUAUUACCUCUCUCAUGGUUGUCCACUGUUGUGGCCUGAUUCCCGUGGAGGAGCACUUCAAUUGUGUGCAAAAUACCGAGUUGCAGUUUUCCUAUUUACUAGCUGGAAGAACAUAUACUGAUAAAUGGUUAAGUCAAAAAGGUUCCGAGGGAAUUGAGUGCUUGGAUAUCUUGUUGAUCAGUCUACAGUGUAUUGACGACCGCCUAGCAGAAAUUAUGUUCGAUGAGAUUGCGCUGCAGCUUGCUACACAUUGCAAGGAAUUUGGCAUUGCAGGAGAGGUGUUGAACAGCUAUGUUUCUCCUGUUGCUUCAGUGGAGCACCCACCCUGUACUUUUGGGCAGCUUAUCCUAUUUGUGUCAAUGCACUGGAACAAUUCAUGUCGGAAGGGAUUCAAAAGAAGUGGUCAUACUGCAAUCAGCUUACACGUACAAGAGUAAUUCACUAGUGUGUGAAACUGCUAGUUCAGUUAAAGGGUUGACUGGAUUGAAAUCUGAGGAUGUCGGGUCUAACUCAAUAACAUUCUCAAGGAGGGAGGGGUGUCAUCGCUGUCGCAGCCCGCUUCGCGCAAAGCUCCAUCGACCACAAGUACUACAUUGACUUUAACAAUGACUACUUCCUCGACAGUUCCUUCGGUGGGAUCGCAAUCGUCCAUAACUACUACUCCCAUGUUGUUAAAGCCAUCUCUGCCUUUAGCUGCCGCUACGACUUUGAGCCAGUCAAGGACCAUCGAGUGCAAUGGGACCCGGGCGAUUUUCGGUGGCACCGGCUUGGGGUCAAGCCGGAUUUCAAGGAGGGAGGGAUGUUAGGAGCCUCCUAGCCUGUACACGUACAAGGGCUGCCCCUUGGACCAGCCCAUGGACUUGGCCCUCGGUGCAGCUACUUAAGCGUGGUGUACAGAAGGAGAGGGUAUCCAGUGGAUCACGAACGAACCGACGACGGCUCUUUCCUCCUACCUUCUUCCCCCUGUUGCAAGCUUCCUCUGUUCUUCUCCUCCAUUGUGUAAUUCCUCUGUAAUCACUACUCUAUAUUGCUACUCGUGAGAGAGAUCGAUCUAUACAAGCUAGCUACCAUCACCUCUCUUACAUCUGGUAUCAGAGACCAGCCACCACUCCUUCCCUAUGCGUUUCGCCAAGCUCGUCGGCAUCGGGCAGCCAUGGAUCCAUGGAUGCAGGCGUAUCUCGAGCGGAUCGACACCAUGCUCGACGCCUACAUCGACGCCACCAGGUCCCUCACCGAGAAAGUGGAUGCCCUGGUCGUCGCCUGGCGGCCAGACCUGGAGAAGAGGUCCUCCCACACCACCGUCGUCCACGGUCCACCAGCGCCGACCUCGGCGCUCGAGACCACUACUGAGGCAUCCGAACCCGUCCCUAACAUCUACUACUCUACCACCAAGGCGCAGGAGAACCCCACGGUCGCCCAUGAUGCAACUCCGAUAUGCAUUCCGAUGGUGCCUGUCACCUGUUCGACGGAUUGCUCGACCCAGGUCGACGCCAUCGAGAGCGCCGACGAAGUCCAUGACGCCACCACCGUCGCAAUGGAGCUUCACAACACUACAACUGCACUCGGCCCCGAGCUUGCGGUCGACCUCUGCAACACCAUGGCGACCACCAAGGUAGCCACCUGUGGUCACUACGGCAAGUUCGACGGCCUCAACAUCCCCGUGAAGGCCAGCAUCAGCCCGCCGCCCCACGUCCAGGAUGCAUUUCCAAAUUAUUCCACAAUCAGCAACUCCCGCGCCGAUGUUGCCGGGACGGAUGAGUACGCACUCGUGGAGGCCACUGCAGACGUCACCAUUGAGCUUGCCAUCCUCCCAGGCGUCUCCUCCUUCAUGAACAAGCUAUUCCGGAAGCAUGACAUGGACGUCUCGCCGCCCGCAAGGCACAAAGGGCUGCCAAUACGGCCGACACCAUGGCCGUCAUUUCUGGUGCAUCAUACUGCAAAGGGGAAUGAGAUUCGACCCACUCCGUGGCCAUCGUUUUCUUGCUCUCAUGAAGGUAUGACUCUGAAUCAUGAAACUCUGCUGCCUCAUGUUACAUGUGUGAUGAAGAAAUUACUUGCUAGAGGAUGUAGUGAUUUCACACUCGGAAAGACUGGUUUACCCAGAUUUCACGUUGAUAAUUCCGCGUAUAGUUCUAAGCAAGUUGGUGAUCUUUUGGUGCGCCGACCGCUUGUGAGACUUAAGCAUAGGGGCUGCCUAAAACCUUUGAGCAGCAACACUGAAGUACCUUGUUGGUUUGAUUACUUCAUCAGCAGAAGUCCACAAUACCCCAGGCAAUGUAUUGCCAACUAGAAAAGGAGCUGAAACCUUCUUGGCUGCUGAAUUAUUUAUCUGUUGUCCUGAAUUCUUUCUCAACAUUCUCAGGAUAUUUGCCAAGGGUAGAGCAGGUGCCCAAUAUUUUUCUGAAGGUUGUUUGCAGGAUCCGUAUGGUGCCAAUAGAUAUUCUUAUUCUGAGCCAACCGGUUAACCCUAUUACCUCUCUCAUGGUUGUCCACUGAUGUGACCUGAUUCCCGUGGAGGAGCACUUCAAUUGUGUGCAAAAUACCGAGUUGCAGUUUUGCUAUUCACUGGCUGGAAGAACAUAUACUGAUAAACGGUUAAGUCAAAAUGGUUCCGAGGGAAUUGAGUGCUUGGAUAUCUUGUUGAUCAGUCUACAAUGUAUUGACGACCGCCUAGCAGAAAUUAUGUUCGAUGAGAUUGCGCUGCAGGUUGCUAUACAUUGCAAGGAAUUUGGCAUUGCGGGAGAGGUGUUGGGCAGCUAUGUUUUUCCUAUUGCUUCAGUGGAGCACCCACCCUGUACUUUUGGGCAGCUUAUCCUAUUUGUGUCAAUGCACUGGAACAAUUCAUGUCGGAAGGGAUUCAAAAGAAGUGGUCAUACUGCAAUCAGCUUACUCAUUGGCAAUGCAUGGCGACGGUGUUCCAAUCUCCUUGAAAAUUGCAUAAUGAUCCUCCGAGGUCUAUUAUGGUGCUUGUGGUUUGUGAGAGAGUACAAUGAAGAUUGUUGUUUCACUAAGCAGCCAUUACAUGAUGGUAAACAGGCUUUCGACACUAUGUGCAUGUUCUAUUAGUACGGCUCUUGUACUACACCUAUCUUGCGACAAUGGAUGCACAUCUAUUUCAGAGCAUGCAGAGAAUGGGUUCCCUGAGCACAGAAAGUUCGAGCAUUAUUUUUCUUCAGUCAAUGCAACUUCAGCCAUAUGUGCUAGUCUGCUGCGUUAUCUUCUCAGUGCAGUCCUCUUAUGAAUUAUAUGAGCAUUGUGUACUGGAGCGUGCUGUCAUAUUUCUGGGUGUGACAAAAUGCAGGGGGCAAAUCAGAUUAUGAGCAUGUUAGUGGUAUGGAUUUUCUGAGUGAAGAUGAAUUUAAGGGGAAUGGUCGUGUGGAGAUGCUCAGAUUCAGGAGUAAUUCACUAGUGUGUGAAACUGCUAGUUCAGUUAAAGAGUUGACUGGAUUGAAAUCUGAGGAUGUCGGGUCUAACUCAAGAACAUUCUCAAGGAGGGAGGGGUGUCAUCGCUGUCGCAGCCCGCUUCGCGCAAAGCUCCAUCGACCACAAGUACUACAUUGACUUCAACAAUGACUACUUCCUCGACAGUUCCUUCGGUGGGAUCGCAAUCGUCCAUGACUACUACUCCCAUGUUGUUAAAGCCAUCUCUGCCUUCAGCUGCCGCUACGACUUUGAGCCAGUCAAGGACCAUCGAGUGCAAUGGGACCCGGGCGAUUUUCGGUGGCACCGGCUUGGGGUCAAGCCGGAUUUCAAGGAGGGAGGGAUGUUAGGAGCCUCCUAGCCUGUACACGUACAGGGGUUGCCCCUUGGACCAGCCCAUGGACUUGGCCCUCGGUGCAGCUACUUAAGCGUGGUGUACAGAAGGAGAGGGUAUCCAGUGGAUCACGGACGAACCGACGACGACUCUUUCCUCCUACCUUCUUUCCCCUGUUGCAAGCUUCCUUUGUUCUUCUCCUCCAUUGUGUAAUUCCUCUGUAAUCACUACUCUGUAUUGCUACUUGUGAGAGAGAUCGAUCUAUACAAGCUAGCUACCAUCACCUCUCUUACAUCUGGUAUCAGAGACCAGCCACCACUCCUUCCCUACGCGUUUCGCCAAGCUCGUCGGCAUCGGGUAGCCAUGGAUCCAUGGAUGCAGGCGUAUCUCGAGCGGAUCGACACCAUGCUCGACGCCUACACCGACGCCACCAGGUCCCUCAUCGAGAAAGUGGACGCACUGGUCGUCACCUGGCGGCCAGACCUGGAGAAGAGGUCCUCCCACACCGCCGUCGUCCACGGUCCACCAGCGCCGACCUCGGCGCUCGAGACCACUACUGAGGCGUCCGAACCUGUCUCUGGCAUCUACUACUCCACCACCAAGGCCCAGGAGAUCCCCACGGUCGCCCAUGAUGCAACUCCGAUAUGCAUUCCGAUGGUGCCUGUCACCUGUUCGACGGAUUGCUCGACCCAGGUCGACGCCAUCGACAACGCCGACGAAGUCCAUGACGCCGCCACCGUCGCAACGGAGGUACGCAACACUACAACAGCACUCGGCCCCGAGCUCGCGGUCGACCUCUGCAAGACCAUGGCGACCACCAAGGUAGCCACCUGUGGUCACUACGGCAAGCUCGACGGCCUCAACAUCCCCGUGAAGGCCAGCAUCAGCCCGCCGCACCACGUCCAGGAUGCAUUCCCAAAUUAUUCCACAAUCAGCAACUGUCGCGCCGAUGUUGCCGGGACGGAUGAGUACGAACUCGUGGAGGCCACUCCAGGCGUCGCCAUUGAGCUUGCCAUCCUCCCAGGCGUCUCCUCCUUCAUGAACAAGCUAUUCCGGAAGCAUGACAUGGACGUCUCGCCGCCCACAAGGCACAAAGGGCAGCCAAUACGGCCGACACCAUGGCCGUCAUUUCUGGUGCAUCAUAGUGCAAAGGGGAAUGAGAUUCGACCCACUCCGUGGCCAUCGUUUUCUUGCUCUCAUGAAGGUAUGACUCUGAAUCAUGAAACUCUGCUGCCUCAUGUUACAUGUGAGAUGAAGAUUACUUGCUAGAGGAUGCAGUGAUUUCACACUCGGAAAGACUGGUUUACCCAGAUUUCACGUUGAUAAUUCCGCGUAUAGUUCUAAGCAAGUUGGUGAUCUUUUGGUGCGCCGACCGCUUGUGAUACUGAAGCAUAGGGGCUGCCUAAAACCUUUGAGCAGCAACACUGAAGUACCUUGUUGGUUUGAUUACUUCAUCAGCAGAAGUCCACAAAUACCCCAAGCAAUGUGUUGCCAACUAGAAAAGGAGCUGAAACCUUCUUGGCUGCUGAAUUAUUUAUCUGUUGUCCUGAAUUCUUUCUCAACAUUCUCAGGAUAUUUGCCAAGGGUAGAGCAGGUGCCCAGUAUUUUUCUGAAUGUUGUUUGCAGGAUCCGUAUGGUGCCAAUAGAUAUUCUUAUUCCGAGCCAAUCGGUUAAUCCUAUUACCUCUCUCAUGGUUGUCCACUGUUGUGACCUGAUUCCCGUGGAGGAGCACUUCAAUUAUGUGCAAAAUACCGAGUUGCAGUUUUGCUACCCACCCUGUACUUUUGGGCAACCUAUCCUAUUUGUGUCAAUGCACUGGAACAAUUCAUGUCGGAAGGGAUUCAAAAGAAGUGGUCAUACUGCAAUCAGCUUACACAUUGGCAAUGCAUGGCGACGGUGUUCCAAUCUCCUUGAAAAUUGCAUAAGGAUCCUCCGAGGUCAAUUAUGGUGCUUGUGGUCUGUGAGACAGUGCAAUGAAGAUUGUUGUUUCACUAAGCAGCCAUUACAUGAAAGUAAACAGGCUUUCGACACUAUGUGCAUGUUCUAUUAGUACGGCUCUUGUACUACAGUAUUCCUAUCUUGCAACAAUGGAUGCACAUCUAUUUCAGAGCAUGCAGAGAAUGGGUUCCCUGAGCACAGAAAGUUCGAGCAUUAUUUUUCUUCAGUCAAUGCAACUUCAGCCAUAUGCGCUAGUCUGCUGCGUUAUCUUCUCAGUGCAGUCCUUUUAUGAAUUACUAGUAAUUUGCCCGUGUGUUGCUAUGGAAUAAAAUAGAUGUAUAUGAAUAUAUUACAAAAAAAUCAUUGCAUUUUGUGGAAUCCCUACCACAUACUCGUUGGGUUCUGUUUCUCUUAAUUUGUUUAUCUCCUCUUCCAUUCCCUCACAUUUGUUCUCUCCGGUCACCAACUCUUCCUCUAGCCCCUCCAUCACUUCCUCCAACUUUGAUGAAUCUCAUCCAUGGAUGUUUAGAGCUGAAGAAUGGUGACACAUUAAGUGACAACGUGGGUUUCACUUUUUAGAUGCCACUUUCUUUGAACCCCUAAACACAAACACAUAUUAUUUCUAGCCUCGGUUUCUUUUCCUCCCUAGCAUUUUCCACCUUAGCCUUUUAGACACCUAAUUUGUUUUGUCCCCCUUUACCACGGUGACAAUUUGAAUUCAUAUGGUUAAAAACAUAAAAAUCACAUAUGCUCUUAAAUGCAAUGGCAAAAAGUAAUCUGGUGAGCUCUCUCUAAAUCAAAAUGUCCAAGACAAAACUGGACACCGUGUACAUGUACUGUAGAUCAGUAGUGUAGUUACUUAGAACUUGGACAAUAUUCUUGAUAAUUUUUGCAACAAGAAGUUGAGGGCCACUAUGGACUAAUUCUGUAUAGUAUAUAAUGUUACAGAUAUGACUGUGAUGUUGUGAAAAUAAAGUGAAUAGUUUCAAUAGUCAACAUGCUGUAAAGUAUCCUCUUAAGUUGAGGCCCUACCGCUGCUAUGAGGCAAAUUAGUAAAUUUACACGCUUGAUUGCAAAUGGAACAACGGCACAUACUUUGUGGUGCUUAAAUAAGCUAGGGUGAUGUAGUGUCAAUUAAAGAGUGGAAGGUGAUUAUUUUCUAACAAUAUAGGAUGAAAGCACAAGACAUUUUGAGAUCCUUGGAUUCACACGGAACAUAACAAAAGUAACACACAGAUCAAUCAAAUACUAUAUCUUUAAACAAAACAAAACCAGUAAUUAGUUUUCGACCAUACAUUGUACAUUACAGCGACAAACAUUAGUUCCAAAAUGACACCCAAUUCAACAGAUAUGUAGCAGCUUAAUGAGCCAUGUUACAAUAAUCAAGAACCAAAAUAGACACUUCUUUCCAUCUAUGCAUUCUUGCUGGCAAGAGUCACAGCUCAAGUCUUCUUUCUCCUAAGUGCAUUUCUUGCUUCUUUGUCUUAGAUUGGAUCUUUCAGUACUACAGAGGAACAAUGCAAGCACAAAACAUUCGAGCAAGAAUAUCUGAAAGUGCGUCAUCUACCGUCCUUGGUUCAAAAGGUCUAGACAAAAGGCUCCAACAUCAUGCCAUACUACUAAAGCUUGCUCCUGAUCCAUGAGUGUUUUACUAAGAUCGUUGUCGAUCCUGCAAAAGUAUUUAUACUUAAAUUUGGCAUAAAUGUGUUCCUUGCAUUACCUCUGAUCCAUCUGACGCCAGCUGCAAUAGAGCAGUGCUAUCCAGACGACAUUAUUUGGACGAUUUGCAGCCGACGAUUGAAUCCAGCCGUGCAAUCUUGUUCACGGCAGAGCAACGGCCGGUGGAUUCUUUAAUCGUGCACAGAUCGUCCAAAAGUUUAUCGUGUGUGAAGCAGUUUCGGCUGCAAUAUUUGGACCAAAGUACCCCUUGCUAAAAACAGUAGUAUGCAGAUCGUGCUCUACUUGAAGACAAAACGAUGAUUAAUAUAUAUAAAUGAUGCUAUGGAUACAUGAUACAAUUAGAUUAUCUAUAACGAAUAAACCAGCACCAUCCUUACCAACUUCAUGCUUUACUCUCAGCAUGGUAACUACAACGAUGGUACACGCCUCAACACUUAUCGGCCAAGUGGUUUGAUUAUUGUCACUAACUAAUUUCUGAACUUAUCUGUAUACUAACUGUUUGAAGUAAGCACUAAAAAGUACAUGCUGCUCAUGUUCAGGGAGAUGACGUACUUUAGAGAACCCAUACAUAACAGACAAAGUUUCAAAACGUACAAGAAGUCCAAACAUCAUGGAUAAAAUUAGAAUCCAAGAUUCUUGUCUCGUGCACACAUUCAUCUACAACCACGAGCUGCAGUUCACUUAAUUAUGAAGUAUGAACUAACUCAUCAAGGACUCAGUUAAGCAUCAGCAGGAGUAAGACAGAGGAGGUGGAAAUGCGCUCGGAUGGAAGCAAAUCAGAGCAGAGCACGACGUACUGUCCACAUGUUUGUCGACAUGGUGGCAUUGCGCUCCUGAGGAUCCGGUGCAGCUCUGGAGCGAGAGCGCCGACAUGGGGUGUGACCUCCAUGCGGUCUGGUGAUGGCAGGUGGGCAGUGGGCAUGCCCGCAGGGUGUGCGGCCUCCAGACAGUCGCAAGUACGGCGAACGAGCACGCUUGAAGAGGUUGCGGCUUCCGCGAUUCAUUGACGGUGAGCUAGUAGUACUGGCAGCGGUAGUGGCCACCACGCGGCACGGGUGACAGCGAGCGAGCAGGGCAUCAGACACAGAGCGUGAUGGACAGAAAGAAAGACACAGGAAGGGAGAGGGAUGAAGAAGCUGGGAGAAUUGGGGCGGUGUACAUGACGAUCUGAAUUUUGAACUAAGAUUGGGAACACCCAUGUCAGGGGAAGGGGUAUUGGGGGAGGUUGGCGGCAUGGGGGAAGCUGGCGGCAGCAAGACACAUUAGAGGGAGGCCGUGAGCAGGGGAGGUAAGAAGGCUUGGUUGCCUGGCUGCCGGUACGUGGAGCUCGGCGAGGAGGAAGGAGAGGUCGUGUGCGGCGGGGCUCCUACAUCAGAGUCUCGUGUGAGGAAGCAGGAGAGUCCUCGCGGGACUCAAGGGGCGGAUGGCGCCGGCGGCGUAGUUGCCGAUCGUCGGAGGAGAAGGGGUAGGGUUGGAGGAGAAGGUGGUGGGCGGCGGGUCUGCUGCAUCGGAGGAGAAGGCAUGAGAGGAGUCGCAGACUCGGCGGAAGGACGGCACCAGCGGCGUACUUGCCGAUGUCGGCGUCGUAGGAGACGAGGUAGGGGGAGGAGGAGACGACGGGGAGGUGCGUGUGGCGGUGGCCGGUGAGGUUCCUAUGGCAAAGAGGAGGGACGGAGCGCCNNNNNNNNNNNNNNNNNNNNNNNNNNNNNNNNNNNNNNNNNNNNNNNNNNNNNNNNNNNNNNNNNNNNNNNNNNNNNNNNNNNNNNNNNNNNNNNNNNNNNNNNNNNNNNNNNNNNNNNNNNNNNNNNNNNNNNNNNNNNNNNNNNNNNNNNNNNNNNNNNNNNNNNNNNNNNNNNNNNNNNNNNNNNNNNNNNNNNNNNNNNNNNNNNNNNNNNNNNNNNNNNNNNNNNNNNNNNNNNNNNNNNNNNNNNNNNNNNCAAAUGUGAAGUGGGGUUGGCUCCUAUGCGUUGGAUGCAGAUCAAACGGCCCAAAAAGAUAGAUGGCAGGCACACCAUCACCAUCAACUCAGAUUUUUAUAGGAGUAGAGAUAGAGAUAUGAGCAUCGUGUACUGGAGCGUGCUGUCAUAUUUUUGGGUGUGACAAAAUGCAGGGGGCAAAUCAGAUUAUGAGCAUGUUAGUAGUAUGGAUUUUCUGAGUGAAGAUGAAUUUAAGGGGAAUGAUCGUGUGGAGAUGCUCAGAUUCAGGAGUAAUUCACUAGUGUGUGAAACUGCUAGUUCAGUUAAAGGGUUGACUGGAUUGAAAUCCGAGGAUGUCGGGUCUAACUCAAGAACAUUCUCAAGGAGGGAGGGGUGUCAUCGUUGUCGCAACCCACAUCGCGCAAAGCUCCAUCGACCACACAACGACUACUUCCUCGACAGUUCCUUCGAUGGGAUCGCAAUCGUCCAUGACUACUACUCCCAUGUUGUUAAAGCCAUCUCUGCCUUCAACUGCCGCUAUGACUUUGAGCCAGUCAAGGACCAUCGAGUGCAAUGGGACCCGGGCGGUUUUCGGUGGCGCCGGCUUGGGGUCAAGCCGGAUUUCAAGGAGGGAGGGAUGUUAGGAGCCUCUACACAUACAGGGGCUGCCCCUUGGACCAGCCCAUGGACUGCCCUCGAUGCAGCUACUUAAGCAUGGUGUACAGAAGGAGAGAGUAUCCAGUGGAUCACGAACGAACCGACGACGGCUCUUUCCUCCUACCUUCUUCCCCCUGUUGCAAGCUUCCUCUGUAAUCACUACUACCUCCGUUCGGGUUUAUUAAUCCCCAUUGUAUUUCGUGCCAAAUUUUGACCAUAGAUCAAACUAACAAAAUGUUCACGCAUGUCACCAAACAUUAUAUUUUUGAAAACUAUGUUCAAAUACGAAUCCAAUGAGAUAAUUUUUCUUGACAUGCAUUAACAUUUUGUUAGUUAAAUCUUUAGUCAAAAUUUGGCACAAACUACAAAGGGGACCUAUAAACCAGGAGGGAGGUAGUACUCUAUUGCUACUCGUGAGAGAGAUCAAUCUAUACAAGCUAGCUACCAUCACCUCUCUUACAUUGGGUUUCAAUAAUCUGCUGCACAAAAUCUGGUUUUUGAAAGCUUUAUCCUGAGGGACCCUUAAAGCCAUUGCAGCAACACAAUUCUGGCGCAUGCUGCACAAAAUCUGGUUUUGGAAGCUGAGCCCAAGGGACACUUCACACCAUUACGUCCUAACUCGAACACAGUUCUGGCUCUCAACAAGGAUCGCAGCAUCAAACAUCUCAACCAACGAGAACCUCAAACAAGGCAAAAGCAGAAAUCCAAGCCACGGACGAGGCGAAAAGCCAGACAGAAAGGGAGUUGAGUACUGGACUGAACGAUUUAUAUAUUCUUCACAAACCACAACCAAAAAAGAGUACUUGAUUAGCAACUCCAUUACAGAUACUAGAGGUUGAUGCGGAAAACAGAAGGUAACUCAUGUCCAACUAACAUGAACCAGGCGUCGUCUGGCGACACCAUCCACAUUUAUUCUUCGCAUAGACAAAGCAGGGACACCUCUGACCAGGCGCCACAAACGAAAGCAGAACGCUCUACUGAGUCUUGGCCAUGUGGCGGAUCAGGUCGACAACGCGGUUGCUGCAGAGGAAUAAGAUUCAAG
rnacentral:lncRNA from 1 species